rnacentral:sRNA from 1 species
CCCUCUUCCUCUACCGGAGGGUUUGGUAUACAGUUUUGUUCCUUUCAUAUCGCCGCCAAGGCAAAGUACUAUACCUAAUCUUC